UGGCCUGCACAAGGCGGGCGCCGCUGCCGCCAUCUUGAGUGAGGGCAGGGGGCGCGCUUCUUUCUCCCAGCCGUGUGUGUGUGAGGGACUCCGCGUGCCGUGACAUAUGAUCUAAUCUUUGGGCAGUCCUGUGUGGAACCCAGAGCCAGACUUGAUCCUUAUGGGUCCCUUCCAAAUGGAGUUGCUUCCUGACUUGAGUGGUGACACUUGCUAUUUUGGGGAUGAGCUGUCUGUAUUCUCUACACCAAGAAUUCUGCUCCUCUACAGAAACCUCACCAGAGGAACCUGAAUGGAAAUCUGUUGUUACUCUUACUUAAAAACUUUCAGAGAAAAAGCAAAACAUGGCAGCAAUAAAUUUCUAUGAUUGCCAUCUACCAUCUUACUAUUAUAAAAGCCCUUGAAAAACAUUAAUCUGGCCUCUGCAAGUCUAAUGGCAUAAGCCAUCUCCACUUGGUCAUGGUAACCAGGUGUCAGAUUAAUGGAUGAAAAUAAGUUCUUAAUGCUAUUUGUAUCAUAACAUCACCCAAAGCUUAAAUGAGAUCAGUAUCCUAUUAUACCAAGCACUGUAGUACUUCAUGUCAAAGGAUCUCUCUGCCCAAGAACUGUAAAGUUCAGACAACUCAGAGAAAGAAAGCAUUACUGACAUUCUAGAAAUAUAAUGAACAACACCAAUAUGAAAUAAGCACUCUCACCACUACCAUUCCCUGCUUUAUUCAAUCAUGGAUUUCAGAAGCCAAAAUUUCCCUAAAGGUUUCAGGUCAGAUUCCUCCUCUCUUUUUUUUAUGUAUGAAUGGAAUGGAAUGCAAGCUAUGCUUUUGCCUGAAAGAGUUGCUAAGCCAAGAGAAACGACAACAUCACCACAGUGCUCAGCCUUGAGAAUGGAAUGCAUAUUUAAUGUGGAUGAGAGUAAUUGACGAUAACGAUUUCUCUGAACUCAGAAAAAAAGAGUUCAUGCAAUAAAUCGUUAAAUGCACACCCACUGCCGUUCAAAUGUUUUAAACAACGCACACUACCAUCUAGUGGUAGAAAGAAAGCAAGAAAGCAUCUCAAAAGGGGUACUUAACAUGUUACACGUAUCUGCACACAAUGCUCACUUCUUAACUGAAAAGCAGUUAUCUAACAAAAAUAAAAAUAAAAAAAA